GCGGUAGUAAGCCUAAUGGUAAGGCAGUUGUUUGCUAAACAAUCAGUAGUCGAGUAAAAUCGGCGUGCAGGUUCAAGUCCUGUCUACCGCG
rnacentral:tRNA from 1 species